CCUACGGGAGGCAGCAGUAAGGAAUAUUGGUCAAUGGAGGCAACUCUGAACCAGCCAUGCCGCGUGCAGGAAGACAGCCCUAUGGGUCGUAAACUGCUUUUAUACGGGAAUAAACUUUGAUUCGUGAAUCAAGCUGAAUGUACCGUAAGAAUAAGGAUCGGCUAACUCCGUGCCAGCAGCCGCGGUAAUACGGAGGAUCCAAGCGUUAUCCGGAUUUAUUGGGUUUAAAGGGAGCGUAGGCGGCCUAUUAAGUCAGGGGUGAAAGACGGUGGCUCAACCAUCGCAGUGCCUUUGAUACUGAUGGGCUUGAAUAUAGUUGAGGUAGGCGGAAUGUGACAAGUAGCGGUGAAAUGCAUAGAUAUGUCACAGAACACCGAUUGCGAAGGCAGCUUACUAAGCUAUGAUUGACGCUGAGGCUCGAAAGCGUGGGGAUCAAACAGGAUUAGAUACCCUGGUAGUCCACGCCCUAAACGAUGAUAACUCGAUGUUGGCGAUAUACAGUCAGCGUCCAAGCGAAAGCGUUAAGUUAUCCACCUGGGGNGACGCCGCGAGAGACGACGAAGAGUAGAGNGNGAGAGNGCGACGGACGACGACGAGGGAGGAGG
rnacentral:rRNA from 1 species